rnacentral:misc_RNA from 1 species
UUUCUCUCCUUUCAGUCAUAAAACUAAAUUUCACACAAAACAUAUAUUUUCAUUCUAACUUGUCUUGGAAGCAUAACUGCAAUCACCACAUUUCCGCUGAGUGGAACAUAAAAAUCAAUGAAAAUUUCAUCAUUUUCCAUGGCUAGUGUAUUAGUGGCAUUUUUUUCCACUUAGUUACCUUUUUAAUAUUUCAGCAUGAGAAGGCAAAAGAACAAUACUUCCAACUUUUGAUGGGCAUAAUUUUAUUUUCAAUUAUUAUCUGCAUUAAGAAUCAGAAGCCAACAUGAUCUCUAAUUUUCUGUGUUUUUCUUUGUAUGAUUUGAUACAGGGUUUGCAAGAACUCCGUUCAG